GAUGAACGCUGGCGGCGUGCCUAAUACAUGCAAGUCGAGCGAACGGACGAGAAGCUUGCUUCUCUGAUGUUAGCGGCGGACGGGUGAGUAACACGUGGAUAACCUACCUAUAAGACUGGGAUAACUUCGGGAAACCGGAGCUAAUACCGGAUAAUAUUUUGAACCGCAUGGUUCAAAAGUGAAAGACGGUCUUGCUGUCACUUAUAGAUGGAUCCGCGCUGCAUUAGCUAGUUGGUAAGGCAACGGCUUACCAAGGCAACGAUGCAUAGCCGACCUGAGAGGGUGAUCGGCCACACUGGAACUGAGACACGGUCCAGACUCCUACGGGAGGCAGCAGUAGGGAAUCUUCCGCAAUGGGCGAAAGCCUGACGGAGCAACGCCGCGUGAGUGAUGAAGGUCUUCGGAUCGUAAAACUCUGUUAUUAGGGAAGAACAUAUGUGUAAGUAACUGUGCACAUCUUGACGGUACCUAAUCAGAAAGCCACGGCUAACUACGUGCCAGCAGCCGCGGUAAUACGUAGGUGGCAAGCGUUAUCCGGAAUUAUUGGGCGUAAAGCGCGCGUAGGCGGUUUUUUAGUCUGAUGUGAAAGCCCACGGCUCAACCGUGGAGGGUCAUUGGAAACUGGAAAACUUGAGUGCAGAAGAGGAAAGUGGAAUUCCAUGUGUAGCGGUGAAAUGCGCAGAGAUAUGGAGGAACACCAGUGGCGAAGGCGACUUUCUGGUCUGUAACUGACGCUGAUGUGCGAAAGCGUGGGGAUCAAACAGGAUUAGAUACCCUGGUAGUCCACGCCGUAAACGAUGAGUGCUAAGUGUUAGGGGGUUUCCGCCCCUUAGUGCUGCAGCUAACGCAUUAAGCACUCCGCCUGGGGAGUACGACCGCAAGGUUGAAACUCAAAGGAAUUGACGGGGACCCGCACAAGCGGUGGAGCAUGUGGUUUAAUUCGAAGCAACGCGAAGAACCUUACCAAAUCUUGACAUCCUUUGACAACUCUAGAGAUAGAGCCUUCCCCUUCGGGGGACAAAGUGACAGGUGGUGCAUGGUUGUCGUCAGCUCGUGUCGUGAGAUGUUGGGUUAAGUCCCGCAACGAGCGCAACCCUUAAGCUUAGUUGCCAUCAUUAAGUUGGGCACUCUAAGUUGACUGCCGGUGACAAACCGGAGGAAGGUGGGGAUGACGUCAAAUCAUCAUGCCCCUUAUGAUUUGGGCUACACACGUGCUACAAUGGACAAUACAAAGGGCAGCGAAACCGCGAGGUCAAGCAAAUCCCAUAAAGUUGUUCUCAGUUCGGAUUGUAGUCUGCAACUCGACUACAUGAAGCUGGAAUCGCUAGUAAUCGUAGAUCAGCAUGCUACGGUGAAUACGUUCCCGGGUCU
rnacentral:rRNA from 1 species